GGAGAGGUGACCGAGUGGUUGAUGGUAACGGUCUUGAAAACCGUCGUGGGGUUAAACCUACCGCGAGUUCGAAUCUCGCCCUCUCCGCCA
rnacentral:tRNA from 1 species